GUCAGAAUGGCCGAGCGGUCUAAGGCGCCAGACUCAAGGUGCAAACCUUCCUGUAGAGAGGAUUCUGGUCUCCAAAUGGAGGCGUGGGUUCAAAUCCCACUUCUGACA
rnacentral:tRNA from 1 species